rnacentral:lncRNA from 1 species
AAACUCCUUGGGGACCGCGUUCCUAGGAAAGGGGAGGAAAACAACUCAUUCGUUCACUCAACAAAUAUUUACUGGGCACCUCAGCGAUCGUGGGAGAGUUCACGAGAGCAAUGAGAUUGAAAUGUUUGCGCCAAGAGCAGAGACCUGAACCUGAAUAGUGAACUUGGAGUCCUAAGUUCAAGUGCUCUCAUUUCUUCUUGAUCGAGAGAGUUCAGAGGAAGAAUCCUUGACUUGACAGGGAGGUGGGGACUGGGAGAGGAGCCAAAGGUGGAAGUAGGAAAUGAACUUGGAGACGUCUGUGGCAGCCUGACUAAUGAGCCUUCUGUGCCAAGCCAGCAGGAGUGCCCGUGCCCAUGGCUGGCUCAGCUCCCUCUGCAGACAGUGAUGGAGGCCUCUACGCUCUGACCAGCUGAGCGAGGCCACACGUGUGCCGGAGGUGGCGAGAGGAGAGGCCAGGGGCAGAGGUUGGGAAGUACUCCCGGGGAUCAGAAGAUCCUAGAUUGAGAUCAGAGAGGAGUCAGUCACAUCACCAAGGACAGGACCAGCAGGAAGCCCAGGUGAGUAGGGGUUGGGGCUUGCUAGGGAGGAGGGAGCCUGGAGAGUUUUCCAAGCCUGACAGCAGGUUUGGGGAUCAAGCUCUAGGCUUCCGUUUCCCCUGGCCGCCAGCCUGCCCAUUGCAUGAACACAGAGACUCACCCCCAGUGCACACACAGCUUCUGUGGAUGCUGUCCUCAUAGUGGGAGUGAGUGGGGGGAAGGGAGCAGAGGAAUGGCCUGACCUGCAUCAUUCCUCUGAGCCCCUCCCGCUCACACACAUCCAGUGAACCCUGGGGGCCUGGAGCCAGGUGUGUGCAUGUGUAAUACAGGCUUGCAGGAAAGAGGGUUAUUUUUUCCCCCAGGGUGGACUCAGGUGUCUGACAUGUCCAUGAAGAAGGGAGAGUUCAUCACUAAGUACAACACACUCUGACCAUGUGCUGGGUACAUUUCUGAGGACAUCACAUGUAUUAAUUCAUUUAAUGCUGACAACAAC